rnacentral:rRNA from 1 species
GUCUACAGCCAUGCCACCCUGAACAAGCCUGAUAUUGGAUCUCGGAAGCUAUGCAGGGUCGGGCCUGGUUAGUACUUGGAUGGGAGACCACCUAGGAAGACCAGGUGCUGUAGGCA